rnacentral:rRNA from 1 species
UGAGACAGGUGCUGCAUGGCUGUCGUCAGCUCGUGUUGUGAAAUGUUGGGUUAAGUCCCGCAACGAGCGCAACCCUUAUCCUUUGUUGCCAGCGGUUCGGCCGGGAGCUCAAAGGAGACUGCCAGUGAUAAACUGGAGGAAGGUGGGGAUGACGUCAAGUCAUCAUGGCCCUUACGAGUAGGGCUACACACGUGCUACAAUGGCAUAUACAAAGAGAAGCGACCUCGCGAGAGCAAGCGGACCUCAUAAAGUAUGUCGUAGUCCGGAUUGGAGUCUGCAACUCGACUCCAUGAAGUCGGAAUCGCUAGUAAUCGUAGAUCAGAAUGUUACGGUAAAUACGUUCCCGG